rnacentral:hammerhead_ribozyme from 1 species
AUCCAGCUGACGAGUCCCUAAUAGGAUGAAACACGCGUUAAACUGAAU